GGUGCAUGCGUCGGGGGUUGGUUCCUUCUAAGUCGUAAAACAAAACGACUCUCGGCAACGGAUAUCUCGGCUCUCGCAUCGAUGAAGAACGUAGCGAAAUGCGAUACUUGGUGUGAAUUGCAGAAUCCCGUGAACCAUCGAGUCUUUGAACGCAAGU
rnacentral:rRNA from 1 species